AUGACGAUCACCUACAGCUGCAUUGCUAAUGGCCGAAUGGUCUUAGCGGAGUUGGCCCUGACCGGCGGCUCCUAUCAGGAAGCAGCGUCAACAGUGCUUAGACUAGUGCUUCUUAGAGCUGAACCAAAGACCGUAAUUCAAAUGGGAAGCUUCGUCUACCAUACUCUCUUUAUUGAUGGAAUCACUUACCUAUGUGCCUCAGACAAUGCCCUGGAUACUGUAACACCAUCUGCAUUUCUCAAAAAUGUUAGUGAUACUUUUCUGAGAAAUCCUUUGCUGUCAGAAGAAUAUUUUUCUCCUUCAAAUGCAGUUGCUGCAGAUUUUCAACAAGUAUUAGGAAAGUAUAUGGUAAAAUACAAUAAAAACCAAGAUAACAGCUCUAUAUCCACCCUGAGGAGUCAAGUAACUGAUGUAAAAAAUGCUAUGACCCAAAAUAUUGAUAAAAUUUUGGAGAGCGAAGAAAGAUCAAAUAUCUUCCCUGACAGUACAGAUGAUCUUCAAACAGCUGUCAAAGAAUCCCAAAAAACAAGACAGAUUCUUAGGAGGAUAUGGUGGAAACACUUCAAAAAGAUUAUAAUCAUCACUGUGGCAAUUCUCCUUUCAAUCAUCAUCAUUCUUUUAACUACAAAUGUAAUACCAAUCUGACCUUUCUUCUCCCCAUCCCCAGCAG
rnacentral:lncRNA from 1 species